AGCGAACGCUGGCGGCAGGCUUAACACAUGCAAGUCGAGCGGGCAUCCUUGUGGUGUCAGCGGCAGACGGGUGAGUAACGCGUGGGAACGUGCCCUUCGGUUCGGAAUAACUCAGGGAAACUUGAGCUAAUACCGGAUACGUGGGAGAGCAGAAAGGUUUAUCUGCCGAAGGAUCGGCCCGCGUCUGAUUAGCUAGUUGGUGAGGUUACGGCUCACCAAGGCGACGAUCAGUAGCUGGUCUGAGAGGAUGAUCAGCCACACUGGGACUGAGACACGGCCCAGACUCCUACGGGAGGCAGCAGUGGGGAAUAUUGGACAAUGGGGGCAACCCUGAUCCAGCCAUGCCGCGUGAGUGAUGACGGCCUUAGGGUUGUAAAGCUCUUUUCUCCGGGACGAUAGUGACGGUACCGGAGGAAUAAGCCCCGGCUAACUUCGUG
rnacentral:rRNA from 1 species